rnacentral:lncRNA from 1 species
GGCUAUUCAGCCAGCUGGUGUUCAUGGAUAGUGCUAUGCUAUAGCUACUAGACCAGAGUUAGAGGCGUCCUAUGAUAUCAUUCCUCAUUUGAUUUAGACCAACAUUUAUACUAUUUCAUUUGAGAUCAUCUUUCAGUAACGUGUCUGCAUACUUUUCUUUGGGUUUUGAUUUAGUUUGUGAGCCACUCGAUGUGCUAUUCAUGUAUUUACACCCUUAUGAGACUUUUUAGUGAUG